CGGCACGGGUGAGUAACACGUAUCCAACCUGCCGUCUACUCUUGGACAGCCUUCCGAAAGGAAGAUUAAUACAAGAUGGCAUCAUGAGUCCGCAUGUUCACAUGAUUAAAGGUAUUCCGGUAGACGAUGGGGAUGCGUUCCAUUAGAUAGUAGGCGGGGUAACGGCCCACCUAGUCUUCGAUGGAUAGGGGUUCUGAGAGGAAGGUCCCCCACAUUGGAACUGAGACACGGUCCAA
rnacentral:rRNA from 1 species